rnacentral:rRNA from 1 species
GCGCCCGAGGCCAUCAGGCCAAGGGCACGCCUGCCUGGGCAUUGCGAGACAUAUCUCUCCCUUAAUGAGGCUGUCCAUACAUACUGUUCAGCCGGUGCGGAUGUGAGUUUGGCCCCUUGUUCUUUGGUACGGGGGGUCUAAGGGCUGCAUGGGCUUUUGAUGGUCCUAAAUAUGGCAAGA